rnacentral:rRNA from 1 species
GACGAACGCUGGCGGCGUGCCUAAUACAUGCAAGUGAAGGCCGAAAGGUUGUUCCUUGUACCAACUGGAUGAGCAGCGAACGGGUGAGUAAGGCGUGGGGAUUCUGCUUUUGACGGGGGGCCAACAUUUGGAAACGAAUGUUAUUCCCGCUUAAAACCUUUAAACACAGUUUUUAAGUUUGAAAGAUGCAAUUCCAUACCUAAAAGUUGAUCCCGCGUUGUAUUAGCUAGUUGGUGAGGUAAAGGCCCACCAAGGCGAUGAUACAUAGCCGACCUGAGAGGGUGAUCGGCCACAUUGGGACUGAGACACGGCCCAAACUCCUACGGGAGGCAGCAGUAGGGAAUCUUCGGCAAUGGACGAAAGUCUGACCGAGCAACGCCGCGUGAGUGAAGAAGGUUUUCGGAUCGUAAAACUCUGUUGGUAGAGAAGAACGUUGGUGAGAGUGGAAAGCUCAUCAAGUGACGGUAACUACCCAGAAAGGGACGGCUAACUACGUG